rnacentral:pre_miRNA from 1 species
CUUACCAUGUUCCCUUAUCAUUCUUUGGCCCAGCGUUAUUAUUUACAGCUGGACGGAGAACUGAUAAGGGCUUAUGGAAGA